rnacentral:tRNA from 1 species
GAAUAUAGCUCAGUUGGUAGAGUGCUUACCUUGCAUGCACAAGACCCUGGGUUCAACCCCCAGUAUCA